GGGGUGAGGCCGGAUCCUGUGCUGUGUCCCGGCGCCCUGUGCUCCGGAGUCUGUGCUGUUGGAUUCGCGCUCCUGCCCCGCAGCCCCCC
rnacentral:pre_miRNA from 1 species